CCUACGGGUGGCAGCAGUGAGGAAUAUUGGUCAAUGGACGCAAGUCUGAACCAGCCAUGCCGCGUGCAGGAAGACUGCUCUAUGAGUUGUAAACUGCUUUUGUACGAGGGUAAACUCAGAUACGUGUAUCUUUCUGAAUGUAUCGUACGAAUAAGGAUCGGCUAACUCCGUGCCAGCAGCCGCGGUAAUACGGAGGAUUCAAGCGUUAUCCGGAUUUAUUGGGUUUAAAGGGUGCGUAGGCGGUCGGUUAAGUUAGAUGUGAAAUCCUGCGGCUCAACUUUGGAAUUGCCUCUGAUACUGGCAGGCUAGAGAGCAGUUGCGGUAGGCGGAAUGCAUGGUGUAGCGGUGAAAUGCUUAGAGAUCACACAGAACACCGAUUGCGAAGGCAGCCUACCAAGCUGCCUCUGACGUUGAGGCACGAAAGCGUGGGUAGCAAACAGGAUUAGAUACCCCAGUAGUC
rnacentral:rRNA from 1 species